rnacentral:rRNA from 1 species
UACGGAGGAUGCAAGCGUUAUCCGGAAUGAUUGGGCGUAAAGCGUCCGCAGGUGGCUAUGUAAGUCUGCUGUUAAAGAGUGAGGCUCAACCUCAUAAGAGCAGUGGAAACUACACGGCUAGAGUGCGUUCGGGGCAGAGGGAAUUCCUGGUGUAGCGGUGAAAUGCGUAGAGAUCAGGAAGAACACCGGUGGCGAAAGCGCUCUGCUGGACCUUAACUGACACUGAGGGACGAAAGCUAGGGGAGCGAAUGGG